CGUACGCUGAUCUCAAAGGCCAUGCUUAUGCUGGCUGCAGACGGCGGAAGCAAUUCAAAGGUAAAAUACGUUUUAAAAUUUAUUUCUACGCUGAACUAUAGUCUAAAAUAUAGAUUGUUCUACGGUUAUUUUGUCUCGCAACAUCUAUACGUAGUUGUGUGUAACCCGGCACAAAAUUUUAGUAUGCGAGUGUACUGGUUAAUAUUUUUGUCAUCACAGAGGCCACAACAUUCUCACAAGUAUGCAGGUGGCGCUAUUGUUUUUCCUCCGUGUUCUGUGAUGGCGGUCGUAUGUGCGGGGUGCUACGAGCGUCGCGUUUGCUUGAUCGUCUGUUUUUGUGUUUGCUGUUAUGAAGUAGGUCGCAGUUAGCGUGCACAGAAGUGCCUGAAGAUACCUUGUGUCAUGCUGCAAACUCGCCGUAUGCGUGGCGCGCCAGGCAAAUGUGGCCCAACGAUUUUAUGCCGUGGAGUGCGGUCUCUUUGUUCUCGUUCUGGAAAGUUAGGUGGACGUCGCAAAGAAAUAAUGUGUGUUAGCGCGCCUCAGCUCGUCCACUACGCAGCGGCAUGUAUGCGGGGAGUAACAUCGUCGACGCAGCACCGGCAACUUGGAGAGCGCUUCGCGACCGCGUCGUACCAUUCAAAAGUGGCGAGGCUGUGACCCAUAACAGUGCCCACAUAACGGAGGAGCCACCAGACCCCUUGGCCAUGCCUGCCGUAGUGCAACGUGUAAUCUGGAUGGUCGGGUCAGGUACACCUAGGAAAUGUUGUAUACAUUGGCAAUGAUAACUGGGGCCUGCUCCAGUGCCAUCACCGGGAUUCCCUGUUCUGCAAAGAACUGGCAUAACUGAUGUGGGGAGCCCUGGCGCUCGGCGUAGGAGCGUCACAGGGGCUCCUUGUCGGUGCUUGAAGGACGGCAGUGCUGUUGAGAAGCCGACAUUGAGCCCCGAUAAAUUGGAAGCUGUGGGUAGUAAGUAUCAUUCACAUUUUUUCAACUUUUUGUAAUGUUUGUAACAAUGCAUGUAUUGCACCGAAAUGAUUAACUUUUCAGAUGCAUUUGAUGCAUAUCUUUCGAAAUGUGGUGCCCCUGAGGAGAAAAAAUCAUCUUCUCAUGCUUGGUUUUGGCCGAGCGGUUGAAUCGAGUGACAAAGUUUUUCG